GCGAUGACCUGGAUCGUCGGGUACCCCUCACCCGUUAAUGGGUGAGGCUCAGCUGUCAGAAUGGC
rnacentral:snoRNA from 14 species